GAUGAAGAACGCAGUGAAAUGCGAUAAGUAAUGUGAAUUGCAGAAUUCAGUGAAUCAUCGAAUCUUUGAACGCACAUUGCGCCCGCCAGUAUUCUGGCGGGCAUGCCUGUUCGAGCGUCAUUUCAACCAUCAAGCCCCAGGCUUGUGUUGGGGACCUGCGGCUGCCGCAGGCCCUGAAAACCAGUGGCGGGCUCGCUGUCACACCGGGCGUAGUAGAUUUUAUCUCGCUCAGGGCGUGCUGCGGGUUCCGGCCGUUAAAAAGCCUUUUUUACCCAAGGUUGACCUCGGAUCAGGUAGGGAUACCCGCUGAACUUAAGCAUAUCAAUAAGCGGAGGA
rnacentral:misc_RNA from 1 species